UACUCCUACGGGAGGCAGCAGUGGGGAAUUUUGGACAAUGGGCGAAAGCCUGAUCCAGCAAUGCCGCGUGUGUGAAGAAGGCCUUCGGGUUGUAAAGCACUUUUGUCCGGAAAGAAAUCCUUGGCUCUAAUACAGUCGGGGGAUGACGGUACCGGAAGAAUAAGCACCGGCUAACUACGUGCCAGCAGCCGCGGUAAUACGUAGGGUGCAAGCGUUAAUCGGAAUUACUGGGCGUAAAGCGUGCGCAGGCGGUUUGCUAAGACCGAUGUGAAAUCCCCGGGCUCAACCUGGGAACUGCAUUGGUGACUGGCAGGCUAGAGUAUGGCAGAGGGGGGGUAGAAUUCCACGUGUAGCAGUGAAAUGCGUAGAGAUGUGGAGGAAUACCGAUGGCGAAGGCAGCCCCCUGGGCCAAUACUGACGCUCAUGCACGAAGGCGUGGGGAGCAAACAGGAUUAGAUACCCUGGUAGUCCACGCCCUAAACGAUGUCAACUAGUUGUUGGGGAUUCAUUUCCUUAGUAACGUAGCUAACGCGUGAAGUUGACCGCCUGGGGAGUACGGUCGCAAGAUUAAAACUCAAAGGAAUUGACGGA
rnacentral:rRNA from 1 species